rnacentral:lncRNA from 1 species
CGGCGAGAAGCCGUCUGCUGUGGGCCGGAGUGACCGUGGGCAGGAGUGAUGACGUGCCUGUUCCCAGCCAAGGCGUUAAGAGGCGGUCGUGUUUCCUUCCGCUUCAGCCUCUGCCGGCAAGCAGCACGAGGAGAACACGCCCUGGCCAGCUGACGGGCCCGAGGCAGCUGGGAGGCACAUGGAGCCGACCCGAAUAUGCCCACCUCCAGCGGGAUGCACAGCCAGACACACGAGCAGCUGAGGAAUGCAGCCCAGCUCGGAUGGCAGAAAGCCAUGGGAGGAACACCCCACACCAGAGGCCUGGUAUUGACCGGUCUUGAACACUCACGCCAACAGCUCAUGUGUGCACGCUGCCCAUGAAGACGUCAGAUUUGGGGACCAAGUUAGGUAUGUGGUCCCGGGCUUGGUUCCAAUUGCA